rnacentral:lncRNA from 1 species
CCUAAUGUGAGCAGCCGUGGGGCAGCAGUGCCAGGGGCUGCUGGAGGGGGGGGGGGUACAGCCCUGCCCUCAUUGCCAGGGAGGUCUGCGUUUCACAACGCGAUGCUCCGGUGCACGUAACAGCCAGGGAAGGUCUGGGGUGUUUCACAACGUUGGGGGACCAUCCGCUCGGUUGCAGAAUUUGGUAGCGAUUUCAGGAAACGGAGCUUUGGCCAUUGUAAAAUCCUGAGGUGGGGUGGGGAGAGGAUGGGCUGAGGGUACGGUGUGGGCUGGGGGGCUCAGGGUUAGGGUUAGGGGCUCAGGGGUAGGGUUAGGGGCUCAGGGGUAGGGUUAGGGGCUCAGGGGUAGGGUUAGGGGCUCAGGGGUAGGGUUAGGGCCAGUGGGUUCAGGGUCAGGGUUUGGGUCAAGGUUAGGGUUAGGGACUUGGGGUUAGGGUUAGGGCCAGGGAGUUCAGGGUUAGGGUCAAGGUUAGGGUUAGGGCCAGGGGGCUCAGGGUUAGCAUUAGGGUUAGGUCCAGGAGGUUCAGGAUCAGGGUUAGGGUCAAGGUUAGGGUUACGGGGCUCAGGGUUAGGGCCAGGGGGUUCAGGGUUAAGGUUAAGGUUAGGGUUAGGGUUGGGGCUGAGGGGCUCAGGGUUAGAGUUAAGGCUCGGAUUACUGUUAGGGUUAGGGUUGGGGCUGGAGAGCUCAGGAUUAUGGUUAAGGUUAGGAUUACUGUUAGGGUUUGGGCUAAGGUUAGGGUUAGGAUUAGGAUUAGGGCCAGGGGGCUCAGGGUUAGGGUUAAGGUUAGGGUUAGGGCCAGGGGGCUCAGGAUUAGGGCUAAGGUUAGGGUUAGGGCCAGGGGGCUCAGGGUUAGGGUUAAGGUUAGGGUUAGGGCCAGGGGGCUCAGGGUUAGGGUUAAGGUUAGGAUUAGGGUUUGGACCAAGGGGCUCAGGGCAGCAGCUGGAUGCUCGGCUGUGCCCACCAGGCAGCAGCAAUGAUCCCCCCAAGCAUCUUCUGUCAUUCAGUCACUCAAUGCAGCCCUUAGCAUGAGCCCAGGUACCACUCUGGGGUCUCAGGGAUGUGAUGGCACAUCAUCCCAUCGGGCUCAGCAGGUCUCUCUGUGCAGCAGAGCCUCCCAGCCCGGUCGCACCCAUGCACUGUGCUAUGGUGAGCUGCAAUCCCAGCCCUGAGGCUGCAGCGUUGGGCAAGCAUUGCUGUGGGGCAGGGAGUGGGAGAGGGCAGUGAAUAGCACAGAGGAUCUGGUUCAGGGCAAGCAGGACCAAUAGUGACUGCAGGAGCUGAGCCCUGGUCAGGCAACCCAUGAUUGGUAGUGUUUGCUCAAGUGCUUUCCAAAUACAUUUACGAGCAGAAGAGAAGGGCUUGCAGUCAGCAGAGGACAAGGUGGGGUUCGUGCUGCUGCGUUUCGUGGAAGGUUUAGCACGAGAUUGGGAAGGAAGUAGGUCCUGGUUGCUAGAUGUGGUUUUAGGGUGGUGAAAUCAGGGGGAUGCACUGAGCAAGGCAGAUCUUUAAGGACCCUUCCAACUCAGGACGUUCUACAGACCCUGAGCAGGAAGGGGUCUGCAGUGGGGGCCGGGUCUGUCUGAGAUGCCCACAGCUGCAGCUGCUCAUUGCUG